CACGGGGGGAGCAAGCGUUGUUCGGAUUUACUGGGCGUACAGGGAGCGUAGGCGGUUGGAUAAGCCCUCCGUGAAAUCUCCAGGCUUAACCUGGAAAGUGCAGAGGGGACUGUUCAGCUAGAGGAUGGGAGAGGAGCGCGGAAUUCCCGGUGUAGCGGUGAAAUGCGUAGAGAUCGGGAGGAAGGCCGGUGGCGAAGGCGGCGCUCUGGAACAUUUCUGACGCUGAGGCUCGAAAGCGUGGGGAGCAAACAGG
rnacentral:rRNA from 1 species